rnacentral:tRNA from 1 species
UCCCUGGUUGUCCAGUGGCUAAGACUCUGAGCUCCCAAUGCAGGGGUCCUGGGUUCAAUCCCUGGUCUGGGAA